rnacentral:lncRNA from 1 species
GCUUUGUGUAACCUAUAGACAAAUUCGACUGUAUAUAAGGAAGUGAAUAUGUUUACUCUGAUUUGAAACUAUCUUAUAGAACUUGUUUUAUAAUUGAGAACCUAUUUGUUUAUGGGUAAUAGGUGAAAUGUUGCAUGACCCAUCAAAAUGACAGCAAACGCAGUUUUCCGGACGAUUUUUAUUUGUACACUGUUAAAAACUGACAAUCAUGUGAAACGGACGAAGAUAUAUUCUAACAGAAGUACAAAUACCAGUCCUCCCUUUUGUGUAUACAUAUGAGAAAACAUUUCAAAGUUAUUAAUUGAAUUCAAAUCCAUCACACAUACGGUACACAUUGUAUUCCGAAACAAGAAUGUGUCCAAAGUACACGGAUGCCCCACUUGCACUAUCAUUGCACUGGCAUUAAAAUUAGAAAGAUCAUACUAUAGGGAACAUAUUUACUAAGUUUCAAGUUGAUUGGACUUCAGCUUCAUCAAAAACUACCUUGAACAAAAACUUUAACCUGAAACUCCCACUUUCAUUUUCUAUGUUCAGUGGACCAUGAAAUUGGAGUCAAAAGUCUAAUUUGGCUUUAAAAUUAGAAAGAUCAUAUCAUAAGCAACAAGUGUACUAAGUUUCAAGUUGAUUGGACUUCAGUUUCAUAAAAAACUACCUUGACCAAAAACUUUAACCUGAACGGACGGACGGACGCACAGACGGACGGACGAACGAACGGAGCCACAGACCAGAAAACAUAAUGCCCCUCUACUAUCGUAGGUGGGGCAUAAAAAUAAAGGACUUCAUUCCUAUCAAACACCUUUUUAAUUGUUUAAACCAGUAUAUUUCUUUUAGUUUUGGGUAAAAUUGUAAAGGAAAUAAUACUACCAAGACGUCCUUCCAUAAACCUUCUUUUUCUGUUCUGACUCUGAAGAAAUGACUUCUUUUCACCCAAUCGAAAUGGUGCAUGGACAUAUUUUGUUUCAUAUUAUUAGAAUUAUUUUCAAUAUUAUCGGUAUUAAACUUGAUUAUCGACACAUGAAAGUCUGUCAGCAUUGUCAAUCUUUUUAACGUUAAAGU